CGCGUAGGCGGCCGAGCAAGGUUGCGGUGAAAGCCCGGGGCUCAACCCCGGGUCGGCCGUGGCAACUACUUGGCUGGAGCACUGUAGGGGCGGGUGGAAUUCCGGGUGUAGCGGUGGAAUGCGUAGAGAUCCGGAAGAACACCGGUGGCGAAGGCGGCCCGCUGGGCAGGAAGACGGAGCAAUCCGUCGGCUGACGCUGAUGCGCGACAGCGUGGGGAGCAAACA
rnacentral:rRNA from 1 species